rnacentral:rRNA from 1 species
GACGAACGCUGGCGGCGUGCUUAACACAUGCAAGUCGAACGGUGAAGCGCCUUCCUUUUUGGUGGGUGUGGAUGAGUGGCGAACGGGUGAGUAACACGUGAGUAACCUGCCCCCUUCUUCUGGAUAACCGCAUGAAAGUGUGGCUAAUACGGGAUAUUCUGGGUCUGUCGCAUGAUGGGUCUGGGAAAGAUAUUGUUUCGGUGGGGGAUGGGCUCGCGGCCUAUCAGCUUGUUGGUGGGGUGAUGGCCUACCAAGGCGGUGACGGGUAGCCGGCCUGAGAGGGUGGACGGUCACACUGGGACUGAGACACGGCCCAGACUCCUACGGGAGGCAGCAGUGGGGAAUAUUGCACAAUGGGCGCAAGCCUGAUGCAGCGACGCCGCGGGAGGGAUGGAGGCCUUCGGGUUGUGAACCUCUUUCGCCAGUGAAGCAGGCCUGCCCCGUUUGUGGGUGGGUUGACGGUAGCUGGAUAAGAAGCGCCGGCUAACUACGUG